UACGUAGGGUGCAAGCGUUGUCCGGAAUUAUUGGGCGUAAAGAGCUCGUAGGCGGCCUGUCACGUCGGCUGUGAAAACCCGAGGCUCAACCUCGGGCCUGCAGUCGAUACGGGCAAACUAGAGUACUGCAGGGGAGACUGGAAUUCCUGGUGUAGCGGUGAAAUGCGCAGAUAUCAGGAGGAACACCGGUGGCGAAGGCGGGUCUCUGGGCAGUAACUGACGCUGAGACACGAAAGCCAGGGGAGCAAACGGG
rnacentral:rRNA from 1 species